rnacentral:rRNA from 1 species
UACGAAGGGUGCAAGCGUUAAUCGGAAUUACUGGGCGUAAAGGGUGCGUAGGCGGUUGUUUAAGUCUGUCGUGAAAUCCCCGGGCUCAACCUGGGAAUGGCAAUGGAUACUGGCAGGCUAGAGUGUGUCAGAGGAUGGUGGAAUUCCCGGUGUAGCGGUGAAAUGCGUAGAGAUCGGGAGGAACAUCAGUGGCGAAGGCGGCCAUCUGGGACAACACUGACGCUGAGGCACGAAAGCGUGGGGAGCAAACAGG